rnacentral:tRNA from 2 species
ACUGAAAAUCCUCGUG